GGGUCAGGAGGUUGGUCGUGCCACCGGUACGUACUGGUCUCACUGAUUCCUCCUUCCCGAAGAACCGUAAUGCCAUUAAUUUGGUGUUGCGGGGAAACAGGACUGUUACUUUGAAAAAAUUAGAGUGUUUAAAGCAAGCUAACGCUUGAAUACAUUAGCAUGGAAUAAUGAAAUAGGACGAUCGAUCCUAUUUUGUUGGUUUCUAGGAUUGACGUA
rnacentral:rRNA from 1 species